CACGUAGGGCGCAAGCGUUGUCCGGAAUUAUUGGGCGUAAAGGGCUCGUAGGCGGUUUGUCGCGUCGGGAGUGAAAACCCAGGGCUUAACCCUGGGCUGGCUUCCGAUACGGGCAGACUAGAGGUAUGCAGGGGAGAACGGAAUUCCUGGUGUAGCGGUGAAAUGCGCAGAUAUCAGGAGGAACACCGGUGGCGAAGGCGGUUCUCUGGGCAUUACCUGACGCUGAGGAGCGAAAGUGUGGGGAGCGAACAGG
rnacentral:rRNA from 1 species